CAACCGCUGAAGCAGUGGAUUUAUUUGUUUAAACGGGAAGACCCUAACAACCCUUCGACUUCCUUGCACCUGUCUGAAAUGACAGGGACCUUUGGGAACCCAGUAGCCGGGCCAACACAGCUGUUGUUAGGUUGUGUUCAGAGAUUGUGGGGUUAAUUCCCUAACGGUCGCAAACCCAGUCCUUUCUGCCUAUCGUUAAGCCGGGCACUCUAAGGAGACUGCCGGCGAUAACUCGGAGGAAGGUGGGGAUGACGUCAAGUCAUCAUGCCCCUUACGGUCUGGGCUGCACACGUGCUACAAUGGUUGGUACAAAGGGUAGCGAACCCGCGAGGUGGAGCUAAUCCCAGAAAGCCUCCCCAGUUCAGAUUGCAGUCUGCAACUCGCCUGCAUGAAGUAGGAAUCGCUUGUAAUCGCGUAUCAGCAUGUCGCGGUGAAUUCGUUCCCGGUCCUUGUACACACCGCCCGUCACUCCAUGGGAUUGGGAAGCACCCGAAGUAGUUACCUUAACCAUAGGGAGGGCCCGACUCACGCGGUGUUAAUGACUGGGGUGAAGUCGUAACAAGGUAACCAAGGGCGAA
rnacentral:rRNA from 1 species